rnacentral:rRNA from 1 species
CCCGGUGAAAAUACAAUACCGGUGAAGAUGCCGGUUACCUGCAGUUAGACGAAAAGACCCCGGGAGCUUUACUGUAGCUUGAUAUUGGGUCUAACAUUCUCAUGCGUAGCAUAGGUGGGAGGCAUUGAAGUCGCGCUUUCGGGCGCGAUGGAGCCGUCAGUGAAAUACCACUCUUGGGAACAUUAGAUCCUAACUUGCGAAGACCAAACUUCGCAAAGACAGUGUCUGGCGGGCAGUUUUUAUGGGGCAUAAUCCUCCUAAAGAGUAAUGGAGGAGUUUAAAGGUCGGCUUAGGCCGGAUGGAAAUCGGCCCGGACCCGCAAAGGGAAAUGCCGGCUUGACUGCGAGUCUGACACGACGAGCAGAUGCGAAAGCAGAACUUAGUGAACCGAUGGCCACAUUAUUUUCUCGAAUCCAUCUCGAAUCGUAUCGAAUAUUUCUCGAAUUUUUAUUCGAGAAUCAUUCGGGUUCAUUCGGGAAGGAUUCGGGAAAUAAUACUUACUAGAACAAGGCCAGAGAUUAACGGAUAAAAGUUACCCCGGGGAUAGACCCAAUUAUGGGUCAGUUGUCCAACCCCACAGAAUACUUACUAGAACAAGGCCAGAGAUUAACGGAUAAAAGUUACCCCGGGGAUAGACCCAAUUAUGGGUCAGUUGUCCAACCCCACAGCAAUGUGGGAGAAGUACGGCUUAUAACGGUGAACCAGAGGCGGUCUUUCCUCGCAAUCGCGGGGUUCUCGACCUCUUGGAAUACCGUGGGAAGUCCGCGCAUUUUGCUUUGCAAAAUGCUAAGUUCAAAAUGAAAAAAUAAAAGUGCAAAAUUUUUGACUUUUGCAUUUUGCGUUUUGAAUUUAGCGUGCAAAGCGAGCGCUUGACCCCGUAACGACUUAUCCGAAAGGAUGGAGCCGUUGCAAAAUUUGCAGCGGCUAACACGCCGUCUCCUAUCAAAAAAAUACCAAUGCUAUGGUUGUUAAUAUUUAAACCUACGGCAGGUGAUAGGAUGAAGAUAUAGUCUAAUGUGAAAACAUUGAACAGGCUAGUUCCGCCCAAGCGUCCAUAGCGACGGCGGAGUUCGGCACCUCGAUGUCGGCUCAAAUAGGAAAAUUGAUUGAAAAUUGGAAAUUGAAAAUUGGAGCUUCCGCUGCUGUGCAGCGGCUGACCCCGUAACGACUGAGGCGCAAGCCAAGAUAGAUUAUCAGUCCGGUAAUCUAUAAAACGCUGACCCCCAUAAAGUUUGUGGGGUGAAAAUAUAGUCUACACAUGUAGUAAUACAUGAACAUGUGCAUCUUAGCGCGGGGGUGGAGAGUGCGUAAGCUUCUCUCCUUGGGAGUAAUCUCAAGGUAAUAAACUAGCUCAAAACGGUAGAGUCCUAAUCGUUGAUAAUUCAUUUUGAAGGUCCCAAGUAACCUGAUAUAAUGAAAUCAAUGAUGGAUGUUACCGUGGGAAAGGAUUUAGGCGAUGACAUAACAAAGGCAUAUAUUGCUGGUUUUCUUGACGGCGAUGGCGCCAUUACAGCAGUGAUUGAAAGACAUGCUGAGAAGAAAUUUAGCUUCCGAGUUCGAGUAUCACUCGACUUCUAUCAGCAUAAAGCCCAUAUCUACCUUCUCCACUACUUAAGAAAGGUUUUUGGUGAAGGGUAUCUUGGACGAUCGAUUCGAAAUACUCAUAAGCUAUCGUUAAGAAAUCAAACGACACUAAAGAAUAUUUUACCUUUGUUAUAUCCAUUUAGCCGUAUCAAGCGUAAUCAGAUUCGUAUUGCAUUACGUAUUUUGAAUACGGUCAUUCACAAGAAAAGUGAUCUACUCAGGGUUGCACGGCUUGCGGAUAAACUUAGUUCGUAUAAUGUGCGGUCACAGAGCAGACGCAAAAACUUUUCGACGAUCAUUGUCUAGUUCUCCCGUAACGACUGAUUCCCGCUGAAAGCGGGAUGAGAUAGAUGCCUAUUAGGCAUCUAUCAGACGGCUAGCAUCCUAACUCAGCCUUUUGAGUAGAAAGGCUGUGUGGAUGAAGGUAUAGUCUAUACUCAUAGGAAUAUGAGAACGAAAUGAGCUCCCAAGCGUUCGGCUGUUCGCCGAUUAAAAAGAUACGCGAGCUGGGUUCAGACCGUCGUGAGACAGGUCGGUCUCCUAUCUACUGCAGGCGUUGAUACUUGAGGGGAGUUGUCCCUUGUACGAGAGGAUCGGGAUGAACGGACCUCUGGUGUACGUUGUACGAGAGGAUCGGGAUGAACGGACCUCUGGUGUACGAGCUGUCGCGCCAGCGGCACUGCUCGGUAGCUAUGUCCGGACGGGAUAAGCGCUGAAAGCAUCUAAGUGCGAAGCCCACCCCAAGAUUAGGUAUCGUUAAGGUCCGUGGAAGAUGACCACGUAAA